CCUGGUAGCUAAGUUGGUAAAGAAUCUGCCUGCAAAACAGGAGUCCCAGGUUCAAUCCCUGGGUCAGGA
rnacentral:tRNA from 1 species